UACAGAGGUCCCAAGCGUUGUUCGGAUUCACUGGGCGUAAAGGGUGCGCAGGUGGGUUUGCAAUUUCGAUGUGAAAGCCCCGGGCUUAACCCGGGAAUGGCAUUGGAUACUGCAGAUCUGGAGGAUCGGAGGGGGGACUGGAAUUCUUGGUGUAGCAGUGAAAUGCGUAGAUAUCAAGAGGAACACCAGUGGCGAAGGCGAGUCCCUGGACGAUACCUGACACUGAGGCACGAAAGCUAGGGGAGCAAACAGG
rnacentral:rRNA from 1 species